rnacentral:lncRNA from 1 species
UUUAGCUAGUUCAUCGGUUUGAACCGGCUUGUUGAUUUGGUGGUCAGCCAAUCAUCUUUGUGUGUCGUUUGGUGGUUAACCAACACACUACAUUUGUUCUUAGGUGGUUAGCCUUAGAUCGUGGGUAUAUCAAGAGCCAUUCCGCAUCUCUUGACGAUCCUUUCAAUCCAUCUCAGUUCCAGAAGUGCCGUUUGCCUUCUCGGAUCAUAUCCAACACCCAGCUAAAGUGAUCCUCCCUAUCUUAGGGUUCUAUCAGUUGGUAUCAGAGCCACUUUGGCUGGUUUGUUUUCAUUUCAUCUUUUCAUCUUCUCAUCUCUCCACGAUUUUAUUUUCUUAUUUCUUGUUGGAUCCGGGCUGUUCCUUUACUCCCUUGUGAUCGCCAGUUAUUAAAAAAAAAAAAGAGAAAAAAAAAUUGAUCAAAAAAAAAAAAAGAGUGAAAGUUUUGGCUUGAAUCACUUCUGAAGAGAAAUCCAGGGGGAGUGGUGGAAGAGAAACCCUGCUGGCUGAAGAGAAACCCAGCCUUAGGACAGUUAAGGCGGAUCCACACAAAAAUCUCUUCAUUGUUCUUUCUCUUUUCUUUUCUCACAAAGUUUGUUUUGGGUUUUGACUGCUGAUUUUUUACUGCCUAUCAUCCUUUGAACCAGUGAAAGAACUCUG